rnacentral:lncRNA from 1 species
GCCCGGAUUGGAAUUUGAAUUAUACUUCAUAUUGUGUUUUAUGGUUCUAACCUUAGCUAAAUUUAAUUUAGCUUGGAUUUCAGCCCAGAUUAUGGUCGACCCAUGCCUUGCUCGAAACAUGGUCCGGAUUAUGCACUUAUUAAAUUAUAACCCUAAUCAAGCCAGGUGCCUAGUAUAUAUUGACACUCGGUCAGUACGCUUCAAAGCAUGAUUCAUAUCCAUCCAUAUAUGGAACCAAAAAUAAAUACAUUUAUAUG